UUUUAAUAGAGAGUUUGAUCCUGGCUCAGGACGAACGCUGGCGGCGUGCUUAACACAUGCAAGUCGAACGUGAUUUUUAUG
rnacentral:rRNA from 1 species